rnacentral:rRNA from 1 species
CAGCCGCCGCGGGAAUACAGGGGAUGCAAGCGUUAUCCGGAAUGAUUGGGCGUAAAGCGUCUGUAGGUGGCUUUUCAAGUCCGCCGUCAGAUCCCAGGGCUCAACCCUGGACAGGCGGUGGAAACUACCAAGCUGGAGUACGGUAGGGGCAGAGGGAAUUUCCGGUGGAGCGGUGAAAUGCGUAGAGAUCGGAAGGAACAUCUGUGGCGAAGGCGACUAUCUGGGCCGACACUGACACUGAGAGACGAAAGCUAGGGGAGCAAAUGGGAUUAGAUACCCCGGUAGUCCCUGUCUCUUAUAA